AACAAGGCGUACCUGCGGACCUGCGGAGGGAUCAUUACAGAGUUCGUGCCCUCGCGGGUAGAUCUCCCACCCUUGUGUAUUCUCUACAUCUUGUUGCUUUGGCAGGCCGUUGGUUCGCCAACCACCGGCUCGCGGGCUGGUGCGUGCCUGCCAGAGGACCUCUCAAACUCGGUUUGUCAGUGUCGUCUGAGUACCAUAACAAUCGUUAAAACUUUCAGCAAUGGAUCUCAGAUCGGAAGA
rnacentral:misc_RNA from 1 species